GGACUCAGCAUUUCCGAGAUACGAGAUAUUCAAACUUUAUUUUUUCCUCCGUUUGAAACGUACCAAGAAGACAGUAGCACAAAGAGAACACACAGAUACUUAAAAGCAAGGCAGGAUAAGCAAGCGAUAUCCCCAGAAAACGACACAAAUUGAGCCUAACUCGGUAAGGCGAUGGCUGCUGCGCCAUGGCUAACUCGGAACAAAAGAAAGCGACAUAAGACGAACAACAUAACAAAACACAACUGUAAUACGUGAUACAUCACAGACU
rnacentral:misc_RNA from 1 species